ensembl:lncRNA
GGGAAACGCACCAGGGAGCCUGUGCCGCAGGGCCUUUGCCCCAGCUGUUCUCUCCUCCAGGAAAACACUGCACAUACAUGGCCCUCCGCGCGGACUCCCCUCCUCCCCGGGGACCCGAAGGUAGCACCCCUCCCGGGGCGAAGAGCUGACAGGCGAGCCUGCGCGGUGGGAGGAUCCUGCGAGAGGCCACUGCGCAUGCGCCGGCGGCCUGCCGCACCCACGCGGCGCUUCUGCAAAAGUUACAGACCGCCGGGUGGCCGCGCGGUGCGGUCACGCGGAGCUGCCCACCCAGUAGAGAAGAAAACUCCCGUGGGGCAUCGGCUUCUUCGGGAAAGACAACGAUGCUUCCCCCGUUGAAGCCCGGAGUCCUCCUCCUAGGCCAUCCGCCAAGGGCUGCAGGGAGCGUGGCUCAUCCUUUCGGAGCCCCUCCCAGGAAGAGUCAGUUGUGUGUGGCCCGCGGUGCCCGGCCGUCCGUUCCAGGCUGGACUCUCCAAGGCCAUCAGGCUUCAGGAUGGAUGAUGAACUUUCAAAAAGGAAAAAGAUGGAAAAUCGUCGAAAUUACCAUAAACUGUGCUGCCAGCUGACUAGGUGUUUCUUUGUAGCACGUGCAGAGUCAAGGCAGAUUGUAUUCCUGCAUUAUAUAACCUACCAGCAACCUACUUACCUCCUGUCUUAAUCAAGGUUAUUCUUGAAAGCAGAGCCUGAGACAGAGGUAGCUGCAUGCUCUUUGGGAAUGUGAUCCUAAGGAGCACGAAUGAGAGAGGGGAGUGCAGGGAGCUGGGGGGGCAGAGAGUCAGGCAAGACAAGGUCGUGUUAUCACGUGGUCCGCUACUGUUGUGGUUACUUAGCGCAGAACCUCCUCAGGAUUCUUAUUAAACUUUAUCUCAGAACUGGCUGCCCGAGGGACGAACAGGGGAAGCAUUUCUCUGUACUGUGUGCUGAGGGCUGCUCCCAUGGGACGUUAAUUCCCCCAUCCCUAUGGGUUGCAAAUACAGGAGAGCCUCCUGGUACCAGAGCGUCACACAGUGCCGCAUCAGAGAAGCCUGGGGACAGGAAGCUCGGUUCUUGGUCCCUGAAGGGCAGCACUGUCUGCACAGAGCAGGGUGAAACCGGCCCAGAACUGUCCACUAGAGCUGUGGCUGGACUCGGAGGUUGAAGAGAUCUGCAGCGGGGCGCACGAGGCAGCUUAUAAGCCUCCGGAAUGUGCUAUCAGCCUUGUCUAGAUCUCUUUCCUCGCUUCCUCCUAUAAUCAAACUUUCAGGGUCCAGCACAAGAGUGGCAGAAGGGUUAGAUAGGGAAGUUAAAUGUGUUAGAAGAUGUACGUUACUAACAGUUGUGACCUUGAGCAAUGUUUGUAAGAAAUAGAAAGUGACACUAGAACUGGGAAAAUUAAAAAUGAUUCUACUUGAAACAUGGGACCUUUGGGUAGAGAUAGUAGAUAUCUUCUAAACUCAUGUAAUCUCAGAAGCAAUUAUGAAUUUUUGGAGAAAAAUGGAGAAAUAAAAUUAACCAUUUCUUAUAUGUCUCUAUGAGCUUUAUAAAUCAACGUCAUUAACUUUUCUCAAGAUUUCCCAAGAUAUUUCCCAUCUCAAGUACCCCACUGUCAAACACUCU